GACCACCGUCCAGUGUGCGUACGACCACUUUGCGAGGACGCGGUGACAAGGAACCUCAGUUCACUUGCUGAUAUUCGCAAGCAGCGCCAAUGAUGCUGAGACUGUUCGGGACUCUACUGUUCAUGUCGGCUGUUUGCGGCUUCGUCUGUCCACCCAACUACUGCGACACCGUCAAGUGUCCCAAGUUCACACCAGAAGAAUGUUCCGGGCGCUUAAGUACCGAAGCCACCUUCUGCGAAUGCUGCGCGGGCUGCAUUCGCUGGAUAGAAGUGGAGCAACCAUGUCCGUUUCCCGCAAGCGGCGUUCCGUUACAAUCUGAAUGCAAGCCAGGACUCGUGUGCGACCCGAAAAGCCACCUCUGCGAGCGGCAGUCUUUGUGACGUAUCAAAAAUAAACUUGUCCA